rnacentral:rRNA from 1 species
UACGUAGGGUGCAAGCGUUGUCCGGAAUUUAUUGGGCGUAAAGAGCUCGGUAGGCGGCUUGUCGCGUCGACUGUGAAAUCCCGCGGCUCAACUGCGGGUCUGCAGUCGAUACGGGCAGGCUAGAGUUCGGUAGGGGAGACUGGAAUUCCUGGUGUAGCGGUGAAAUGCGCAGAUAUCAAGGAGGAACACCGGUGGCGAAGGCGGGUCUCUGGGCCGAUACUGACGCUGAGGAGCGAAAGCGUGGGGAGCGAACAGG